CUGGAGUCCAUCCCUCUGUGUGUCUAGGAGCCUUACCAAUGGACGUACUACCUCAUACACCUGCAGGAAAUGGAGAAAAGCAGAAGGAAAUGGCACAGCUUUGGUGGGAGUUACUAGGCCAACAGAUGAUAUACAUCCAUCAGGGAGCAUACUCCAUAUGGACAUAAUUACCAAGAGGAACAAAUCUUCAAGAAGAAAGACCUCUGGAGAGAGAAUAUUUGGACUAUGAAGACCAGACUCUGACAACCUAAAAAAAGACACUGAAUCCAUGGAAAGCUAUAAGAGGAUCCUUCAAAAAGAGGAAGGAAUUCCAGGCCCUUCAGUGCUAAGACCUCCUUUGGCUACAUGUGUAUUCUACACAUUGUAUUCUAAGUCUGAGUCCCUUCUUCCUAUGGAUGCUGUGUGUAUAUUUGUGAUAGUAUGACUCAAGUUUAUAAGAAAAAUGCUUUAUAACUAUUUCUUGCUGUUCCAUCUGAGUAAAUAUCUUUGUUAAGAGGUCAUCGUGUGGCAAUACAGCAAGAAUGUGCAAUGAUCAGUUAUGAAAGACCUGGUUUUUCUCAGUGGUUUGGUGAUCGAAAACAAUCCCAAAACAGAAAACACCAUCUGCGGCCAGAAAAAGAACUAAGGAGACUGAAUGUGAAUCAACAUAUGCUGUGUCCACUUCUUUUUUCUGGUUUUUUAUCUCUCCCAUGUUUUUUCCCUUUUGCUAUGAUUUUUCUCUCUCAAUAUGAUUCAUAAAGCAACAUGCAUUAAAAAUAAAUAAAUUUUAAAAGAA